GACGAGCUCUGGCGGCGUGCUUAACACAUGCAAGUCGAACGGAAAGGCCUCUUUCGGGGGGUACUCGAGUGGCGAACGGGUGAGUAACACGUGAGUAACCUGCCCUUGACUUUGGGAUAACUUUAGGAAACUGGGGCUAAUACCGGAUAGGAGCUCCUGCUGCAUGGUGGGGGUUGGAAAGUUUCGGCGGUUGGGGAUGGACUCGCGGCUUAUCAGCUUGUUGGUGGGGUAGUGGCUUACCAAGGCUUUGACGGGUAGCCGGCCUGAAAGGGUGGCCGGCCACAUUGGGGCUGGGAAACGGGCCAGACUCCUACGGGAGGCAGCAGGGGGGAAUAUUGCACAAUGGGGGGAAGCCUGAUGCAGCAACGCCGGGGGCGGGAUGACGGCCUUCGGGUUGUAAACCGCUUUCGCUCAUGACGAAGCUUUGUGUGACGGUAGUGGGUAAAGAAGCACCGGCUAACUACGUG
rnacentral:rRNA from 1 species